rnacentral:rRNA from 1 species
UACGAAGGGUGCAAGCGUUACUCGGAAUUACUGGGCGUAAAGGGUGCGUAGGUGGUUUGUUAAGUCUGCUGUGAAAUCCCCGGGCUCAACCUGGGAAUGGCAUUUGGGACUGCAAGGCUGGAGUGCGGCAGAGGAGACUGGAAUUCCUGGUGUAGCAGUGAAAUGCGUAGAUAUCAGGAGGAACACCGAUGGCGAAGGCAGGCCUCUGGGCUGACACUGACGCUCAUGCACGAAAGCGUGGGGAGCAAACAGG